CUAUGCGCCUUGCCAGCCCGCUCAGGUGUGCCAGCGCCGCGGUAAUACGGAGGAUGCGAGCGUUAUCCGGAUUUAUUGGGUUUAAAGGGUGCGUAGGCGGGAUGCCAAGUCAGCGGUAAAAAUGCGGUGCUCAACGCCGUCGAGCCGUUGAAACUGGCGUUCUUGAGUGGGCGAGAAGUAUGCGGAAUGCGUGGUGUAGCGGUGAAAUGCAUAGAUAUCACGCAGAACUCCGAUUGCGAAGGCAGCAUACCGGCGCCCUACUGACGCUGAGGCACGAAAGUGCGGGGAUCGAACAGG
rnacentral:rRNA from 1 species